CUCAUCCCAUGUCUCAUGUCACUCGUCUGCAACCUUCACUGGAUAAACGCCAUGGAAACGGCAGGUUUAAUGACAACAGAGGUUUUCAGACCACUUGAGGCACUUCUGAAUUACACAGUCUUUAGUUUUUGAACCCUGAAGGCUAAGAAUGGACUCUUUUGUUAUCUGUGUUCUGCUGUGUCAUCCUUCCUCUGGAGCAGAGAAGAUGCAGUGCCCUGGCUGCCCAAGCUGAGGGAAGGUCACAGGGAACAAAGGAUCGACAGAGGGAAAACCCUGUUAUUAUCUCAAAAUUUUAUUCAGUCACGAAUGCUUUUGUUCUAUUUGCCACUCCAUUCAGAGCUCCACUACUAUU